UGGACAUUGCCAAAAAUAAAAGUUCCCAUUAGUUUCUCUGUAUGCUCCUUGCCUAGCAGUUAACCUGUUUGGAAUAUUG
rnacentral:snoRNA from 1 species